GGCAGACAUUUUGUUUUGUUUUCGGCUAAUGUUUUGAUUCCUUAAGACACCAAGGAAUUCAGGAAAAACCUGCCGACACUGAGAGUUUCAGAAGAAACACCAACAAGGAGGAGAUCACUAAAGCACAGAGAGGUUAAGAACCUUCCAGAAUUCCUCCAGUAAGUGGUGAAACCAUGAUGUUUCCCCAGGCAGCUGGGCUCCAGGGACGCCACCAUCGGUCCAACAGUAAAAGUUAAUGGAAAACCAUGGCAACUAAAUAAAAAUGGCAGGACC